rnacentral:rRNA from 1 species
AUAGGGGAGCCGGAGGGAAACCGAGUCUUAACCGGGCGUUAAGUUGCAGGGUAUAGACCCGAAACCCGGUGAUCUAGCCAUGGGCAGGUUGAAGGUUGGGUAACACUAACUGGAGGACCGAACCGACUAAUGUUGAAAAAUUAGCGGAUGACCUGUGGCUGGGGGUGAAAGGCCAAUCAAACCGGGAGAUAGCUGGUUCUCCCCGAAAGCUAUUUAGGUAGCGCCUCGUGAAUUCAUCUCCGGGGGUAGAGCACUGUUUCGGCUAGGGGGCCAUCCCGGCUUACCAACCCGAUGCAAACUGCGAAUACCGGAGAAUGUUAUCACGGGAGACACACGGCGGGUGCUAACGUCCGUCGUGAAGAGGGAAACAACCCAGACCGCCAGCUAAGGUCCCAAAGUCAUGGUUAAGUGGGAAACGAUGUGGGAAGGCCCAGACAGCCAGGAUGUUGGCUUAGAAGCAGCCAUCAUUUAAAGAAAGCGUAAUAGCUCACUGGUCGAGUCGGCCUGCGCGGAAGAUGUAACGGGGCUAAACCAUGCACCGAAGCUGCGGCAGCGACACUCAGGUGUUGUUGGGUAGGGGAGCGUUCUGUAAGCCUGCGAAGGUGUGUCGUGAGGCAUGCUGGAGGUAUCAGAAGUGCGAAUGCUGA